rnacentral:rRNA from 1 species
GGUUAAGCGACUAAGCGUACACGGUGGAUGCCCUGGCAGUCAGAGGCGAUGAAGGACGUGCUAAUCUGCGAAAAGCGUCGGUAAGGUGAUAUGAACCGUUAUANCCGGCGAUGUCCGAAUGGGGAAACCCAGUGCAAUUCGUUGCACUAUCGUUAACUGAAUACAUAGGUUAACGAGGCGAACCGGGGGAACUGAAACAUCUAAGUACCCCGAGGAAAAGAAAUCAACCGAGAUUCCCCCAGUAGCGGCGAGCGAACGGGGAGCAGCCCAGAGUCUGAAUCAGCUUGUGUGUUAGUGGAACGGUCUGGAAAGUCCGACGGUACAGGGUGAUAGUCCCGUACACCAAAAUGCACAGGCUGUGAACUCGAAGAGUAGGGCGGGACACGUGGUAUCCUGUCUGAAUAUGGGGGGACCAUCCUCCAAGGCUAAAUACUCCUGACUGACCGAUAGUGAACCAGUACCGUGAGGGAAAGGCGAAAAGAACCCCGGCGAGGGGAGUGAAAAAGAACCUGAAACCGUGUACGUACAAGCAGUGGGAGCACCUUCGGGUGUGACUGCGUACCUUUUGUAUAAUGGGUCAGCGACUUAUAUUCUGUAGCAAGGUUAACCGUAUAGGGGAGCCGCAGGGAAACCGAGUCUUAACUGGGCGUUAAGUUGCAGGGUAUAGACCCGAAACCCGGUGAUCUAGCCAUGGGCAGGUUGAAGGUUGGGUAACACUAACUGGAGGACCGAACCGACUAAUGUUGAAAAAUUAGCGGAUGACUUGUGGCUGGGGGUGAAAGGCCAAUCAAACCGGGAGAUAGCUGGUUCUCCCCGAAAGCUAUUUAGGUAGCGCCUCGUGAACUCAUCUUCGGGGGUAGAGCACUGUUUCGGCUAGGGGGUCAUCCCGACUUACCAACCCGAUGCAAACUACGAAUACCGAAGAAUGUUAUCACGGGAGACACACGGCGGGUGCUAACGUCCGUCGUGAAGAGGGAAACAACCCAGACCGCCAGCUAAGGUCCCAAAGUCAUGGUUAAGUGGGAAACGAUGUGGGAAGGCACAGACAGCCAGGAUGUUGGCUUAGAAGCAGCCAUCAUUUAAAGAAAGCGUAAUAGCUCACUGGUCGAGUCGGCCUGCGCGGAAGAUGUAACGGGGCUAAACCAUGCACCGAAGCUGCGGCAGCGACACUAUGUGUUGUUGGGUAGGGGAGCGUUCUGUAAGCCUGCGAAGGUGUGCUGUGAGGCAUGCUGGAGGUAUCAGAAGUGCGAAUGCUGACAUAAGUAACGAUAAAGCGGGUGAAAAGCCCGCUCGCCGGAAGACCAAGGGUUCCUGUCCAACGUUAAUCGGGGCAGGGUGAGUCGACCCCUAAGGCGAGGCCGAAAGGCGUAGUCGAUGGGAAACAGGUUAAUAUUCCUGUACUUGGUGUUACUGCGAAGGGGGGACGGAGAAGGCUAUGUUAGCCGGGCGACGGUUGUCCCGGUUUAAGCAUGUAGGCUGAUUGUCCAGGCAAAUCCGGAUAAUCAAGGCUGAGGUGUGAUGACGAGGCACUACGGUGCUGAAGUAACAAAUGCCCUGCUUCCAGGAAAAGCCUCUAAGCAUCAGGUAACAUCAAAUCGUACCCCAAACCGACACAGGUGGUCAGGUAGAGAAUACCAAGGCGCUUGAGAGAACUCGGGUGAAGGAACUAGGCAAAAUGGUGCCGUAACUUCGGGAGAAGGCACGCUGGUGUGUAGGUGAAGUCCCUGCGGAUGGAGCUGAGACCAGUCGAAGAUACCAGCUGGCUGCAACUGUUUAUUAAAAACACAGCACUGUGCAAACACGAAAGUGGACGUAUACGGUGUGACGCCUGCCCGGUGCCGGAAGGUUAAUUGAUGGGGUUAUCCGUAAGGAGAAGCUCUUGAUCGAAGCCCCGGUAAACGGCGGCCGUAACUAUAACGGUCCUAAGGUAGCGAAAUUCCUUGUCGGGUAAGUUCCGACCUGCACGAAUGGCGUAAUGAUGGCCAGGCUGUCUCCACCCGAGACUCAGUGAAAUUGAACUCGCUGUGAAGAUGCAGUGUACCCGCGGCAAGACGGAAAGACCCCGUGAACCUUUACUAUAGCUUGACACUGAACAUUGAGCCUUGAUGUGUAGGAUAGGUGGGAGGCUUUGAAGCGUGGACGCCAGUCUGCGUGGAGCCAACCUUGAAAUACCACCCUUUAAUGUUUGAUGUUCUAACGUUGGCCCCUGACCGGGGUUGCGGACAGUGUCUGGUGGGUAGUUUGACUGGGGCGGUCUCCUCCCAAAGCGUAACGGAGGAGCACGAAGGUUAGCUAAUCCUGGUCGGACAUCAGGAGGUUAGUGCAAUGGCAUAAGCUAGCUUGACUGCGAGCGUGACGGCGCGAGCAGGUGCGAAAGCAGGUCAUAGUGAUCCGGUGGUUCUGAAUGGAAGGGCCAUCGCUCAACGGAUAAAAGGUACUCCGGGGAUAACAGGCUGAUACCGCCCAAGAGUUCAUAUCGACGGCGGUGUUUGGCACCUCGAUGUCGGCUCAUCACAUCCUGGGGCUGAAGUAGGUCCCAAGGGUAUGGCUGUUCGCCAUUUAAAGUGGUACGCGAGCUGGGUUUAGAACGUCGUGAGACAGUUCGGUCCCUAUCUGCCGUGGGCGCUGGAGAAUUGAGGGGGGCUGCUCCUAGUACGAGAGGACCGGAGUGGACGCAUCACUGGUGUUCGGGUUGUCAUGCCAAUGGCACUGCCCGGUAGCUAAAUGCGGAAGAGAUAAGUGCUGAAAGCAUCUAAGCACGAAACUUGCCCCGAGAUGAGUUCUCCCUGAGACUUUAAGUCUCCUGAAGGAACGUUNNGACGAUGACGUUGAUAGGCCGGGUGUGUAAGCGCAGCGAUGCGUUGAGCUAACCGGUACUAAUGAACCGUGAGGCUUAACCUU